rnacentral:tRNA from 1 species
GUUUGGGUGGCAGAGCUAGGCCAAUGCAGAAGUUCUAAGCCCUUCCACCAGAGGUUCAAAUCCUCUCCCAAACU